AUCCAACAACCAUGACUCUCAGGAAUGGUGAGUGUAACCACUCUUCUCCUUCCGAGUAUUGAUUAUCGAGAAGAGAUCAGCGGUUACACUACAUUAUUAGUAAGAGUCCUUAUUCAUAUUCCG
rnacentral:precursor_RNA from 15 species